rnacentral:rRNA from 1 species
AUUGAACGCGGGCGGCAGGCCUAACACAUGCAAGUCGAACGGUAACAGGAAGAAGCUUGCUUCUUUGCUGACGAGUGGAGGACGGGUGAGUAAUGUCUGGGAAACUGCCUGAUGGAGGGGGAUAACUACUGGAAACGGUAGCUAAUACCGCAUAACGUCGCAAGACCAAAGAGGGGGACCUUCUGGCCUCUUGCCAUCGGAUGUGCCCAGAUGGGAUUAGCUUGUUGGUGGGGUAACGGCUCACCAAGGCGACGAUCCCUAGCUGGUCUGAGAGGAUGACCAGCCACACUGGAACUGAGACACGGUCCAGACUCCUACGGGAGGCAGCAGUGGGGAAUAUUGCACAAUGGGCGCAAGCCUGAUGCAGCCAUGCCGCGUGUAUGAAGAAGGCCUUCGGGUUGUAAAGUACUUUCAGCGGGGAGGAAGGGAGUAAAGUUAAUACCUUUGCUCAUUGACGUUACCCGCAGAAGAAGCACCGGCUAACUCCGUG